rnacentral:rRNA from 1 species
UACGGGGGGGGCUAGCGCUGUUCGGAAUUACUGGGCGUAAAGGGCUCGUAGGCGGCCAACUAAGUCAGACGUGAAAUCCCUCGGCUUAACCGGGGAACUGCAUCUGAUACUGGAUGGCUUGAGUUUGGGAGAGGGAUGCGGAAUUCCAGGUGUAGCGGUGAAAUGCGUAGAUAUCUGGAGGAACACCGGUGGCGAAGGCGGCAUCCUGGACCAACACGGACGCUGAGGAGCGAAAGCCAGGGGAGCAAACGGG